CCCUUAGAUGUUCUGGGCCGCACGCGCGCUACACUGACGAAUGCAACGAGCUUAUAACCUUGGCCGAGAGGUCUGGGUAAUCUCCAAAUUUCGUCGUGAUGGGGAUAGAUUAUUGCAAUUAUUAAUCUUCAACGAGGAAUGCCUAGUAAGCGCAAGUCAUCAGCUUGCGUUGAUUACGUCCCUGCCCUUUGUACACACCGCCCGUCGCUCCUACCGAUUGAAUGGUCCGGUGAAGCGUUCGGACCGUGGCCUUUGGACGGUUCGCCGUCUGUUGGCUGCGGGAAGUUCGUUAAACCUUAUCAUUUAGAGGAAGGAGAAGUCGUAACA
rnacentral:rRNA from 1 species